CUGAGAAGAAGUCCACGUAUUUAAAUUAAACCCAAGUAUCUACAGUACUAUCUAUCUGAAAUUUUGCUAUUGAUUUUCUAUAUUUUCAUGUAUGCAUCAUGUAUUUUUCUUUUGAAUUACUCUGUAUUUCUGUAUUUUUGGUUUUGAUUUAAGGAAAAGGUUGUGGCGAGUCUUUUGAUAAGACUCGAGUGGGGGAUUGGUGUGUGGAGAUUCUAAGAAAUCCACAUGGUGAUAGAGAUUCUGAGAAGAAGUCCACGUAUUUAAAUUAAACCCAAGUGUUGCUGAGAGAUUCUGAGAAGUCACGUACUCAAAAUGUGUUCUAUUCAUAAUAAGUUUCAUUUCAAAAGUUAAAAAUUAAUAUUUCAUGGUAAGGAUCUGUCUCAUAUAUAUAUAUAUUAACAGGUUUCAUUUUUAUAUUCAAAAAUGUUUUAGGUAAACUUUAUGGUAUAUUUCAUAUGUAAUUUCACAGUAUUUCUAACUGCGUAGUCAGCUGAGUCUGUUUUGCAUAUGAAGUUGAAACAAACUGGAACAACAACGUAUAUAAGAUAGACUCUGCAAAAUAGAAUAGGGUUUGACUUUCUGAGACUCUGGUCUCUCUAUCUUUUCAGCUCACUUCCUCUUCUUUGGCUUCACUCGACAACUCUUAGACUCAGACUUAGAACUCUUACAGGUUUUUAUUCAAAUUCAGAUACCUUGAAAUUCAGAUACUUUGAUACUCUGAUACUUUGAUAUUUUAAUAUUUGAAUACUUAAUAUUUUGGUACUUUUGAUUCGAACAGAAUAAUUGUUUAUGUUUUAAUUACAAUUGUAUUAAUGUUUUGAUUAAUACUGGUUGGGUUCAAUCCAUCAUAAAUGGAUUGUUAUUAAAAAUGUACUAACAUUGGAUUUACAUUUUCUAUAUUUGAAGGUUGUUACUAUUAUCCAGAACUUUAUUUCCAAGUUAUGAUUUGUGGUUUCUGUUCUCUAUAUUCUUUUUAAUAAAUUUACAUAUUAUUACACCUUGACCGUCUGAAUUGGAUUAAAUUUUGCAUCUAGUAAUUCUUAAAACCUGUCUAAAGGUUCAAAUAUUUUCCAUUGCUUCCGUUUUUAUGCUCUUUAUUGUUCUUUAAAAGUGUCUUGAGGUUUUUUGUUUUUUUUUUACCACUAAAAGAAUAUGAAACCAUGAGGUUUGCACACUGACAAAUCCAAACACGAUCUAGCUGUUUACCGGUAGUUUCAUCUUGACAUUUUUCACUUGACUUAAACGAGCUUUCACACUUUCAUGGACUGAAUGUUCUUAACAUAAACAUCAGACUACCCUGAAUGAAAUGAAAACAAAGGAUCCUGGGAAG
ensembl:lncRNA